CCAUGUUCACCAACCUAAAAGCUCUCCAACCCCAUCCUUUUGGUUUUGUGGAGGCUUUGUUACAUGGGCAUGAUUGAUUAAAUCAUUGACCAUUGGUGACUGAACUGGAGAUGAGGGGAGGGGACUGAAAGUUCCAACCCUCUAACCACUUGGCAACCAGCCUCCAUCCUUAUGUGACCUCCUCUGCAAAGGUCAGCUGAUUAACAUAACAAAAGGCAGUUUAACUGUUUUCAUCACUGGAAAUUCCACGUGUUUUAGGAGCUCUAUGCCAGGGUUGGGGAUGAAGACCAAGGAAGGAUAUGCUUCAUAUUAUAAAUCAGAAUCUCACAGUAGGAAAAUUGAUAAAAUUCAAAUAAGAUCUCAAGAUUAGUUUAAAGUAUUGGAUCAAUGAUAAUAUUUUGGUUUCAAUAAUUUUACUAUGAUUUUACAAGAUGUUAACAUUAGGGGAAGAUGGGUGAAGGAUACAUAGGAACUUUGUGCUAUUUUUGCAACUUUUCCUUGAGUCAUUUCAGACUAAAAGGUUAAGCAAUAUAUUUACUGAGUAUCUAUUCUGUGCUAUUCUCUGAGCUGAGGAGACAGUGGUGAACAAGACACGGACAUUGCCCUAGGAGACUUAGAGCUUGGUCUGCAACAGGACAAGUAACUGAGGCCCUGUAAGUAUCCGUGAUUGGCCUCUAGUCAUUGAGGAGCAAAUAGAGCAGUGGAGAUCCAGCCCAGGUGUGCACGACCCCAGCUCUUCCUCUCUUUAUGAUCGUAAACAUCACAUCUGAUGAACCAUCAAUCCCUGUCAGCUUCAUGUCUCCAGCAAACCUGGCACCCAUUUUUGGCCAGCCACAUGAGAAACACAAAGACAAGGACGCUGUUAUUCCUCUGGGACACCUCCCCUGCAGGAAAAGAGUGCUGGACACACACAGGUUACGCAGGGCAAGCCUUCCUUCACCACAGGGUCAGAGCACCCGACACCUGGUCCCUGGUCCCUCAGCCGCUCUGCACCCAGACUUCCAGGCACCAGGGAUAUGUCAUUGAAGAAAGCGUCAACAAUGCCUUCACGAGCUUGCAUUUGAUAGGAGACACUGAACGGCGACAACCUAAAGGAGCACAUACAUAGCAAGUAGAUGCUUCUUUCCCGUGAUGUUGAGUAUGGGGUCCUCCAUUUGUCUUUGCUAGAUUUCCACUUCUCUCUGCCUCACUGGUGGGUUGUAUUCCUUCCGGGAACUUCACAUACUUCAGUACACUUGGUUGAUUAAAAACAUUCUUUCCAUAAACAUCAAUACACUGGCAAGGAUUUUUGUAGCAGAAACUUUAAAAAAUGAAAUUUCAGGCUGUUUUCUGUUUGGAGGCUGAGCAUCUGGGAGAGGCGACAUUAAGGGUGCAUGAAGUCACAGACACACAUGGAUGGCCCUCUUUGCAACGUCGUCCCAGAUGCCGACAGAGCAUUGCACCCGGUCUAACGACUGCCCUAGCUGUAAUGCCCGUGCAAUGAUGCAUUUGCAGAACCUCUCUCAUCUCAUUAGAACCCGUGGUGCACCGUGUGCUGUCAGUGCUGGUGACCAACUGGUGCGCAUUUUAGAACAGGGGAUUUUAGGGUGAAGACUGAAACCAGAGAUCCAACAUCUCUUUCUGUGAACACAGCAUCCUGUGUGAGACAUCAACCCCUCUUUAUGGCCUUCUAGGUCACAGAGUGAGUAAAUGCACUGGGUACCAGGGUUGCUGGACAUCCUUCCCCCCAGGAUUGCUGGUCACUCAAGGUGAAUCGUCCUGGUGAAAAGGAGAGAAUGUGUAGUUAGAUCAGCAAAUCCAGAGGGCCAGCCCCACCACUUAUGAACCGUGUGUCUGAGUCUCCUGUUUCUCAUCUAUAAAACACGAACACAUUUUUUCUGAAGAAUUAUUUUAGAGAGAGAUCAAGAGGGCAUGAGUGGGGGUAGAGGGAGAGAACGUCAAGCCAACUCCCCACUGAGCGCGGAGACCGUGAGCCUGAGAUCAUGACCUAAGCUGAAGUCGGAUGCUUAACCGGAGGAGCCAUCCAGGUGUCCCCUUACCUAUGUUUCGAUAAAUAAAUGACAACAUGUGCUUUUAUAAACUGGUGACUUACUAUCUUGUAUGAA